rnacentral:tRNA from 2 species
GCCCCGGUAGCUCAGCUGGAUAGAGCGGCUGCCUUCUAAGCAGCGGGUCGCAGGUUCAAGUCCUGCCCGGGGCGCCA